AACUGCGAAUGGCUCAUUAAAUCAGUUAUCGUUUAUUUGAUAGUACCCUACUACAUGGAUACCUGUGGUAAUUCUAGAGCUAAUACAUGCGUCAAACCCCGACUUCGGAAGGGGUGUAUUUAUUAGAUAAAAAACCAAUGCCCUUCGGGGCUCCUUGGUGAUUCAUAAUAACUUCACGAAUCGCAUGGCCUUGCGCCGGCGAUGGUUCAUUCAAAUUUCUGCCCUAUCAACUUUCGAUGGUAGGAUAGUGGCCUACCAUGGUGGCAACGGGUAACGGGGAAUUAGGGUUCGAUUCCGGAGAGGGAGCCUGAGAAACGGCUACCACAUCCAAGGAAGGCAGCAGGCGCGCAAAUUACCCAAUCCCGAUACGGGGAGGUAGUGACAAUAAAUACUGAUACAGGGCUCUUUUGGGUCUUGUAAUUGGAAUGAGUACAAUCUAAAUCCCUUAACGAGGAACAAUUGGAGGGCAAGUCUGGUGCCAGCAGCCGCGGUAAUUCCAGCUCCAAUAGCGUAUAUUAAAGUUGUUGCAGUUAAAAAGCUCGUAGUUGAACCUUGGGCCCGUCCUGCCGGUCCGCCUCACCGCGAGUACUGGUCCGGAUGGGCCUUUCUUUCUGGGGAAUCCCAUGGCCUUCACUGGCUGUGGCGGGGAACCAGGACUUUUACUGUGAAAAAAUUAGAGUGUUCAAAGCAGGCCUUUGCUCGGAUACAUUAGCAUGGAAUAAUAGAAUAGGACGUGCGGUUCUAUUUUGUUGGUUUCUAGGACCGCCGUAAUGAUUAAUAGGGAUAGUCGGGGGCGUCAGUAUUCAGCUGUCAGAGGUGAAAUUCUUGGAUUUGCUGAAGACUAACUACUGCGAAAGCAUUCGCCAAGGAUGUUUUCAUUAAUCAGGGAACGAAAGUUAGGGGAUCGAAGACGAUCAGAUACCGUCGUAGUCUUAACCAUAAACUAUGCCGACUAGGGAUCGGGCGGGGUUUCUAUGAUGACCCGCUCGGCACCUUACGAGAAAUCAAAGU
rnacentral:rRNA from 1 species